CUCAGUCCACAUGGAGGGGGCCGGCACUCCGCCCACAUGGAGGGGGCGGGUACUCAUGCUGCGUUCGAGUAUUCUCUGCGAACCGACUCGGAUCUCGGAUCUGACGCCACGCCCGUCCACAUCGAGGGGGCGGCCACUCAGUUCACAUUGAGGACUGGUCAAACAGCAUUUCUGAUCCCGUUUCUGACCUGAAAUUAGCUGAAAUGUACCUGAAAUUACCUGAAAUUAGAGUGUGCCCGCCCGAGCGAGUGAUGCCUAAAACAUGCAAAGACACGUCAGUGUAAUUGUGGAUGGCGAGAGCCCUGAAAUACAGCUGGACAGCAGCGGUCUACAUCACUGCCCCUUCUGCAGAUACAAAGGGUCAAAAUGUGAUAUCGACCAUCACAUUAAAUGCCAUGCCUCGGUUAAAUACAGAGGUCUGCAGAGGAGCUUUCAGGAAGCAGGAAGAGAAGACGGGAGG